ACUAUUCAGUUAGUCAGUCAACUCAGCUUCAGUCAACUACAGUAGACUCCUGCUCACGCUAGUCUACUACUCAGAUAAUCUUUCAACCUUCGACCAUCGAAUUGAAUGCUUUACAGUGCUUCAAUUCAUUCUUCAAUUCAUUCUUCAAAAUUAAAACAGCUGUUCAUCUUUAAUUAGACGAAGAGCGAUACUAAUCAAUUCCGUCGCUUAGCGUAAUCGGUCUUACAACCCGAGAGAUUUUGUAAUCAUGGAGUUUUAGUAUCGGCUGUACUCGCUGUGCAUCCUACACAUUUUUAAUUGUAAUUAUUAAAUAUUUUGGAUAUUCGCGCAGUGCGAAGGAAAUGCCGCUGCGACUGUGAGGAGAUUACGGGAAGAAUUCCCAAAUUUGAAUACACCGACGGAAUAUGCCGUACGGACAUUGGCGCAACGCUUUUAUUCCCGCGGCAUCUCAAUAGCAGGAAGAUCAUUUUCUGCACGAACCCUCCGAUCGGGAAAUGACGUACAAUAAUAGAGGAGGACGGCACCGAGAGUGUACGAGGAAUCAGUCGCCGCUUGGGCAGUACUACCGUGCACCGUAUCCUACAGGACAAUUCUCUGCACCCAUACAAAUUCAUACGUGUGCAGGAAUUACUGGACACUGACUUUGAUCAACGGAUUCAAUAUUCAAGGUGGCUGUUGCGAGAAGUAGCGCGAAAUCCAUCGUUCUGCAAAUACAUUUUAUGGACAGCUGAAGCACUCUUCGCAAGAGAAGGGUGUUCCGCUUCGGUCACACCAUGCGCAGGUUCGCUUCUCGGUUAAUGGCAUGGGCCGGAAUUUGUGGCAAUUUUAUCGUUGGGCCGUACAUCCUUCCUAACAGGUUGGACUGUUCAGCGUAUAAAAUUUUUUUUAAAACAUGUUCUGCCAGAGCUUUUGGAAUGCAUUCCUUUGGAGUUCCGGCAGAACAUGUUUUAUCAAAUGGACGGGGCUCCCGCCCAUUUCGCCACAGAAGUUCGCGUCCAUCUGGACGAAACCUUUCGAGACAGAUGGAUCGGCCGUGGCGGACCUGUGCCGUGGCCCCCACGGUCAUCCGAUUUGAAUCCGUUGGAUUUUUAUUUUUGGGGACAUUUAAAGGAUGCGGUGUACAAGUCCCCCACGGUCACCCGAUUUGAAUCCGUUGGAUUUUUAUUUUUGGGGACAUUUAAAGGUAAUUUUAGCAAUGAACGUUUUCAAAUUAUUAUCGCAUUUUUUUACCGUUUCUUUAGAUUAAUUUUGUCUACUUCUAGGAUGCGGUGUACAAAGAAGCGAUGAACAGCGCCGAUGAAAUAGUAAUGAGAAUGCACGGCAGCUGUUGCAACGAUAACUCUCCUGAAACAUUAGAAGAAGUCAGUAAAAUAUCUAUAUCGAUUGUGUACUUAUUUUACUCUAUAGAUGUUUUGAUGAUUAAAUAAAGAAAGACGAUUUAAAAGUUAAUAAACAUUA